GAUGAACGCUAGCGACAGGCCUAACACAUGCAAGUCGAGGGGCAGCACGAAGUAAGCUUGCUUACUUUGGUGGCGACCGGCGCACGGGUGCGUAACAGGUGUGCAAUCUGUCCAUAAUCGGGGAAUAGCCCAGCGAAAGUUGGAUUAAUGCUCCAUGUGAGCCGAGGAGGCAUCUCUUUGGUUUGAAACGCAAGGAUUAUGGGUGGGCACGCUUCUGAUUAGGUAGUUGGUGAGGUAACGGCUCACCAAGCCGACGAUCAGUAGGGGUUCUGAGGGGAAGGUCCCCCACAUUGGAACUGAGACACGGUCCAAACUCCUACGGGAGGCAGCAGUGAGGAAUAUUGGUCAAUGGACGGAAGUCUGAACCAGCCAAGUCGCGUGAAGGAUGAAGGUUCUAUGGAUUGUAAACUUCUUUUGUCUGAGGGUAAAACAGCGGACGUGUCCGUUCUUGCAAGUAUCAGACGAAUAAGCAUCGGCUAACUCCGUGCCAGCAGCCGCGGUAAAAC
rnacentral:rRNA from 1 species